UACGUAGGUGACAAGCGUUGUCCGGAUUUACUGGGCGUAAAGAGCGCGCAGGCGGUCGAUCAAGUCGAGUGUGAAAGCCCCCGGCUCAACUGGGGAGGGUCGUUCGAAACUGGUCGACUCGAAGGCAGGAGAGGGUAGUGGAAUUCCCGGUGUAGUGGUGAAAUGCGUAGAUAUCGGGAGGAACACCAGUGGCGAAGGCGACUACCUGGCCUGUUCUUGACGCUGAGGCGCGAAAGCUAGGGGAGCAAACGGG
rnacentral:rRNA from 1 species